GAUGAACGCUAGCGGCAGGCCUAAUACAUGCAAGUCGAACGGAUAUAUGUUUUUCGGAAUAUAUAUUAGUGGCGCACGGGUGAGUAACACGUACAUAACUUGCCCUCAAGCGGGGGAUAGCCUUGGGAAACUGAGAGUAAUACCCCAUAGAAUUAUUGGACGGCAUCGUUUGAUAAUUAAAACUACGGUGUUUGGGGAUAGAUGUGCGUCUGAUUAGCUAGUUGGUGAGGUAACUGCUCACCAAGGCGACGAUCAGUAGGGGGCGUGAGAGCGUGGCCCCCCACACGGGUACUGAGACACGGACCCGACUCCUACGGGAGGCAGCAGUAAGGAAUAUUGGUCAAUGGAGGGAACUCUGAACCAGCCAUGCCGCGUGAAGGACGACGGCCCUCUGGGUUGUAAACUUCUUUUGGAUGGGGCGAAAAAACGGGAUUUAUCCUGGACUGACGGUACCAUCAGAAUAAGCACCGGCUAACUCCGUG
rnacentral:rRNA from 1 species